UGGACAAAUUACUGUAUUCGACUGUAUUCACGGCGUGAAACAGGGGAUUACACUAAUGGAAAGUGUAUCAAUUAACAUAAUAGACUCUU
rnacentral:pre_miRNA from 1 species